AAGAAGAAGACGUUCAACUUCAUUUUCUGUCGAGUUCAAAACCAAGGCAUCAGCUGUGGUUACCGUGCAGUCGAUUAUGGGAAGAAUUUGUGAGGUCAGAAACUGCGGGAAGAUCUCUAGAAAAAGGAGUUGUCAUCGGCUUCCUCUCAACACACCUAAAAGUCAUAGAGUCAGAAAGUUGUGGCUUUCAUUCCUCGGGUUCGACAUAAACACCCCAGUAAAUGUACUUCGGGAAGCCAACCAUCGCGUUUGCGCCUUUCACUUUCGGCCUGAGGACUACCUGAAAUCAACAAGUCAUCGAAAGAAGUGUCCGAAGAGACUGCAUCUGAAAAGGGCAGCUGUACCUACGCUUUGUGGACCAACGCUAGACGAAGAAGACCUCGGGGCUGUUGGCGGUGUGGUGGACCAGCCUUCUACCUCCAGCAUAUCCUUGGUCCUCACCAGUCCACAGCCACGGCCUCACCAAUCCAAUAAAUCCCCAAGGAAGUCCUUAUCUGGCAGUUACCUUGCUUUCCCUGUGAUCAGGGAGAGGCUCUCACUAUCUCCGGAUGAUUGUGAAACUGAGAUGCUUCAAAUGGACACAAGCAUUUCCUCAGUCAUUGAGGAUGACCCAAAAGACAUGAGCUUCAGCCUCAGUCAACAGUCAAGUUCAAGUGAAACCUCCAGUUCAAGUGCCUCAGAAGAGCAAGGGGAGUGGGAUGAAAGAAAAUGGAUUGUGAACGAGUCUAGCAUCAUGCAACUGUUUAGAACAUGCCAUAUAUGUGCCGCACAAAUCACUGAUAAAAAAGUGACAACUACAGGCAGCCAACUAAAGAUUGAAUGGACAUGUUUGAAUAAUCAUCAUGGCAAGUGGGCAUCAUGUCCUGAUGCAAGAGGAAUGGCACAGAAUAACUUGCUUGUUUCUGCUGCUACGCUUUUCUCUGGAACAACUUUCACUGAAGUACACGAGUGGGCCAGCAUCCUAAACUUGCAACUCUUGAAGAAAUCCCAGUACUACUCCAUCCAAUCCGACUACCUUAUUCCAGUAGUACACUUUGCAUACAAGGAUCAUCAUGAGAAUCUCAUUAAGCGACUUAUUAGACAAAAGGCUGAAGGCGAGUCCAUAGAGCUUUGUGGAGAUGCCAGGUCUGACUCACCAGGUGAGUGUGUUUUUUUUCUUUAAUACAAUAACAUGGAGGUAUGGAUUGUAAGACUGUUGGAAAUGUUUUCCUCUGGAUAGUAAGGAGGACUCACAUGUUGUCACGCUAUUACAUUCUACAGGCUACAGCUGCAAGUAUUCCACCUAUUCGUUUCAGCUUCUAUCCAGUAAUGAGAUCAUUCACUUUCAACUACUACAGGUAACGGAAGCUAGCAGUUCAGUUGCCAUGGAGUCCCAAGGCUGUAGGAGGGGCCUCAACCAUCUCAUUUUCAAUGAAGGAGUAGAUAUAGACCUCAUCACUACAGACCGGGCCACAUCAGUUCGGAAAAUAAUGAGGGAGGAAUUCCAGAAUGUUCACCAUGAAUUUGAUCCUUGGCAUGUAUCAAAAGGCAUAAAGAAAAAACUGGUAGCACUCGCCAACAAAA